UCAUCCUAAUGCUGGUUAUUUCUCUGGAGGUUCUGGCUACAGGAGAGUUGGACCUGGUUCUGAUGGCGCUUCCUUUGGUUUUACGUCUGGUGUUCACUCUAAUGUGGGAUCUCCAGCUGCACAGGAUGCAGGAAUUUCCCAGAUGAUUGCUGGUCUGAUGGGCCUGAGCCCCUACAGCAGCCGACCUCUCCUCCAGUUUCACUGGAGCUCUCCCCAGGUUCCUCUGGACAUUGUUAAACGCCCUGUAUUCCCUUCAUCACUCAUCAUCCACUCAAACAACGGCUACCAGAGAGCAAGAGACUUCCGCUCAGACUCCAAAUACACCAAGGAGACGUUUGACAACAUUCCUCAACCUGGAAUGCCACAGAACCCAGACUCUGGGUCUGAAGGACAGCAGAAGUUCUGAGGUGAAACUGGCUGAAAUCUCUGACCUCGGAAU